AUACGUAGGGAGCAAACGUUGUCCGGAUUUAUUGGGCGUAAAGGGCUCGUAGGCGGUUCAACAAGUCGGUCGUGAAAGCCCGGGGCUCAACCCCGGGACGCCGGUCGAAACUGUUGUGACUAGAGUUCGGUAGAGGUGAGUGGAAUUCUCGGUGUAGCGGUGGAAUGCGCAGAUAUCGAGAGGAACACCAUUAGCGAAGGCGGCUCACUGGGCCGAUACUGACGCUGAGGAGCGAAAGCGUGGGGAGCAAACAGGAUUAGAAACCCGAGUAGUCC
rnacentral:rRNA from 1 species